CAGCAGCCGCGGUAAUACGGAGGGUCCGAGCGUUAUCCGGAAUUAUUGGGUUUAAAGGGUCCGUAGGCGGGCCGGUAAGUCAGGGGUGAAAGUCUGUAGCUCAACUAUAGAACUGCCUUUGAUACUGCCGGUCUUGAGUCAUGGUGAAGUUGGCGGAAUAUGUGGUGUAGCGGUGAAAUGCAUAGAUAUCACAUAGAACACCGAUUGCGAAGGCAGCUGACUAACCAUGUACUGACGCUGAUGGACGAAAGCGUGGGGAGCGAACAGGAUUAGAUACCCUGGUAGUCCACGCCGUAAACGAUGGAUACUAGCUGUCCGGGUCCUUGAGACCUGGGCGGCCAAGCGAAAGUGAUAAGUAUCCCACCUGGGGAGUACGUUCGCAAGAAUGAAACUCAAAGGAAUUGACGGGGGCCCGCACAAGCGGUGGAGCAUGUGGUUUAAUUCGAUGAUACGCGAGGAACCUUACCAGGGCUUAAAUGCAUUUUGACAGGGCCAGAGAUGGCUUUUCCUUCGGGCAAUUUGCAAGGUGCUGCAUGGUUGUCGUCAGCUCGUGCCGUGAGGUGUCAGGUUAAGUCCUAUAACGAGCGCAACCCCUACCGUUAGUUGCCAGCAUGUCAUGAUGGGGACUCUAACGGGACUGCCGGUGCAAACCGCGAGGAAGGUGGGGAUGACGUCAAAUCAUCACGGCCCUUACGUCCUGGGCCACACACGUGCUACAAUGGCAGGUACAGAGAGCAGCCACGUCGCAAGGCGGAGCGAAUCUAUAAAACCUGUCACAGUUCGGAUCGGGGUCUGCAACUCGACCCCGUGAAGCUGGAAUCGCUAGUAAUCGGAUAUCAGCCAUGAUCCGGUGAAUACGUUCCCGGGCCUUGUACACACCGCCCGU
rnacentral:rRNA from 1 species